ensembl:snoRNA small nucleolar RNA SNORA2/SNORA34 family
CUGACUCUGAAUCAAGACUGGCAGCCUCCUGAUACUGUUGAUUUCAAGCAGGAGCCUAAUGUGAUAUCUUUCAGUGAUCUGUUGGCCAUUUCAGAAUUUGGGCAAUGAAAUGGUCAAUUCAUUAGAAAGAAACAGCU